rnacentral:rRNA from 1 species
UACGAAGGGUGCAAGCGUUACUCGGAAUUACUGGGCGUAAAGGGUGCGUAGGUGGUUCGUUAAGUCUGAUGUGAAAGCCCUGGGCUCAACCUGGGAAUUGCAUUGGAUACUGGCGGGCUAGAGUGCGGUAGAGGGUAGUGGAAUUCCCGGUGUAGCAGUGAAAUGCGUAGAUAUCGGGAGGAACAUCCGUGGCGAAGGCGACUGCCUGGACCAGCACUGACACUGAGGCACGAAAGCGUGGGGAGCAAACAGGAUUAGAUA